AUUGAACGCUGGCGGCAGGCCUAACACAUGCAAGUCGAGCGAGCGGCGGACGGGUGAGUAAUGUAUGGGGAACUGCCCGAUAGAGGGGGAUAACUACUGGAAACGGUAGCUAAUACCGCAUACUAUCAGAUGUGCCCAGAUGGGAUUAGCUAGUAGGUGGGGUAAUGGCUCACCUAGGCGACGAUCCCUAGCUGGUCUGAGAGGAUGACCAGCCACACUGGAACUGAGACACGGUCCAGACUCCUACGGGAGGCAGCAGUGGGGAAUAUUGCACAAUGGGCGCAAGCCUGAUGCAGCCAUGCCGCGUGUAUGAAGAAGGCCUUCGGGUUGUAAAGUACUUUCAGUGGGGAGGCGUUACCCGCAGAAGAAGCACCGGCUAACUCCGUGCCAGCCGCCGCGGUAAUUC
rnacentral:rRNA from 1 species